GCUGGCGGCGUGCCUAACACAUGCAAGUCGAGCGGAGACAGAGGCUUCGGCCAUGUUUUAGCGGCGGACGGGUGAGUAACGCGUGAGCAACCUUUCUCUUACUGGGGAAUAACACAGGGAAACUUGUACUAAUACCGCAUGAGACCACAGAGGGGCAUCCUUCAGGGGUCAAAGAUUUAUCGGUAAGAGGUGGGCUCGCGUCUGAUUAGAUAGUUGGUGGGGUAACGGCCUACCAAGUCGACGAUCAGUAGCCGACCUGAGAGGGUGAUCGGCCACAUUGGGACUGAGACACGGCCCAAACUCCUACGGGAGGCAGCAGUGGGGAAUAUUGGGCAAUGGGGGAAACCCUGACCCAGCAACGCCGCGUGGAGGAAGAAGGUUUUCGGAUCGUAAACUCCUGUCCUCAGGGAAGAGCAGAAGACGGUACCUGAGGAGGAAGCCCCGGCUAACUACGUGCCAGCAGCCGCGGUAAUACGUAGGGGGCAAGCGUUGUCCGGAAUGAUUGGGCGUAAAGGGCGCGUAGGCGGCUCGUUAAGUCUGGAGUGAAAGUCCUGCUUUCAAGGUGGGAAUUGCUUUGGAUACUGGCGAGCUUGAGUGCAGGAGUGGUAAGUGGAAUUCCCAGUGUAGCGGUGAAAUGCGUAGAGAUUGGGAGGAACACCAGUGGCGAAGGCGACUUACUGGACUGUAACUGACGCUGAGGCGCGAAAGUGUGGGGAGCAAACAGGAUUAGAUACCCUGGUAGUCCACACUGUAAACGAUGAAUGCUAGGUGUAGGGGGUAUCGACCCCUUCUGUGCCGCAGUUAACACAAUAAGCAUUCCGCCUGGGGGAGUACGGCCGCAAGGUUGAA
rnacentral:rRNA from 1 species